rfam:Anopheles gambiae str. PEST chromosome 2R, whole genome shotgun sequence.
AUUUUCAGAACUCCGACCCCAACCUCCACGUGGUGCUGGCUGGAUUACAACUGUUGCACAAAAUGUGCAACAAUUGUAUACCAACUGGGGCGG